GCGCAGCAGUCGCGAAAACUCCGCAAUACGCGAAAGCGUGACGGGGCUACCCCGAGUGUCGUCCGCUGAGGACGACUUUUCCACGCUGUAAGGAGGCGUGGGAAUAAGGAGAGGGCAAGUCUGGUGUCAGCCACCGCGGUAAUACCAGCUCUCCGAGUGGUAGGGACGAUUAUUGGGCUUAAAGCGUCCGUAGCCGGCUCAGCAAGUCUCCCGUUAAAUCCAACGAUUCAAUCGUUGGACUGCGGGAGAUACUGUUGAGCUAGGAGGCGGGAGAGGCCGACGGUAGUCCCGGGGUAGGGGUGAAAUCCUAUAAUCCCGGGAGGACCACCAGUGGCGAAGGCGGCCGGCCAGAACGCGCCCGACGGUGAGGGACGAAAGCUGGGGGAGCGAACCGGAUUAGAUACCCCUGGAGUCC
rnacentral:rRNA from 1 species